AUUUAAUUACUGUCGUGUACGAGAAAAAACCAAUAGUUAUUUGGCUAAUUUCGUGUUAUUUUUUUUAAUACAUUUAUAAUUAUUUAUUUUCGUGCCGCACAUUUGUGGCCCAAUUCCUAACCGCACGCAGAAACGUCUCCUCCAUCCUCUCGAUAGCUCAUUUUAUUAACAACAAUAGUUGAAACAACACUAUGAGAAGCACUAUGACACUAGUGGUUUAUAGUCCAGUGCGUAUACGUAUAAUAAUUAACGUCGUCCAUACUGGAAUAUUAAUAAUGUGUUAAAAAGUACAUAGACCUACGUUGCGAUUAAUUUUCGUAUUAUUUUGUUAAUACAUAACAUUGUAAUUACUUACGAGGAUAUUAUUCAUAACUAUGUCGUCCGGAUCACGGCUUCAAAAAAUGUCCGAUACAACGGAAACGAUAAACGUUUUUCACGAUAAUUGUGUCGAAGUUAUCAAACUCCGUUCGGCGUAUAAAACAACUGCGUACAGAAACGUGAAAUGUUUU